rnacentral:rRNA from 1 species
GAUGAACGCUAGCUACAGGCUUAACACAUGCAAGUCGAGGGGAAACGAUAUUGGAAGCUUGCUUCUGAUAGGCGUCGACCGGCGCACGGGUGAGUAACGCGUAUCCAACCUGCCCAUCACUUGGGGAUAACCUUGUGAAAGUAAGACUAAUACCCAAUGACGUCUCUAGAAGACAUCUGAAAGAGAUUAAAGAUUUAUCGGUGAUGGAUGGGGAUGCGUCUGAUUAGCUUGUUGGCGGGGUAACGGCCCACCAAGGCGACGAUCAGUAGGGGUUACUGAGAGGAAGGUCCCCCACAUUGGAACUGAGACACGGUCCAAACUCCUACGGGA